rnacentral:rRNA from 1 species
CCUACGGGGUGCAGCAGUGGGGAAUAUUGCACAAUGGGCGAAAGCCUGAUGCAGCAACGCCGCGUGAAGGAAGAAGGGUUUCGGCUCGUAAACUUCUAUCAACAGGGACGAAAGAAAUGACGGUACCUGAAUAAGAAGCCCCGGCUAACUACGUGCCAGCAGCCGCGGUAAUACGUAUGGAGCAAGCGUUAUCCGGAUUUACUGGGCGUAAAGGGAGCGUAGGCGGCCUGCCAAGUCUGAUGUGAAAUACCGGGGCUCAACCCCGGGGCUGCAUUGGAAACUGGCAGGCUGGAGUGCCGGAGAGGCAGGCGGAAUUCCUAGUGUAGCGGUGAAAUGCGUAGAUAUUAGGAGGAACACCAGUGGCGAAGGUGGCCUGCUGGACGGCGACUGACGCUGAGGCUCGAAAGCGUGGGGAGCAAACAGGAUUAGAUACCCGUGUAGUC